CGCGGGAUGGAGCAGUUCGGUAGCUCGUCGGGCUCAUAACCCGAAGGUCGGUGUUUCAAAUCCGCCUCCCGCAA
rnacentral:tRNA from 1 species